rnacentral:rRNA from 1 species
CCUACGGGAGGCUGCAGUAGGGAAUAUUGCUCAAUGGGGGAAACCCUGAAGCAGCAACGCCGCGUGGAGGAUGAAGGUUUUCGGAUUGUAAACUCCUUUUGUUAGAGAAGAUAAUGACGGUAUCUAACGAAUAAGCACCGGCUAACUCCGUGCCAGCAGCCGCGGUAAUACGGAGGGUGCAAGCGUUACUCGGAAUCACUGGGCGUAAAGAGCGCGUAGGCGGGAUAGCAAGUCAGAUGUGAAAUCCUAGGGCUUAACCAUAGAACUGCAUUUGAAACUGUUAUUCUAGAGUAUGGGAGAGGUAGGUGGAAUUCUUGGUGUAGGGGUAAAAUCCGUAGAGAUCAAGAGGAAUACUCAUUGCGAAGGCGACCUGCUAGAACAUAACUGACGCUGAUUCGCGAAAGCGUGGGGAGCAAACAGGAUUAGAUACCCUUGUAGUC